CCAUGACCACACAGGGGUCGCACUGUUGAUGCCUGAUUUGCUGAAAUCUCCCCACACAAGCCUUGUGCCGCCCCCCCCCCCCUCCCCCCUAGUCUGGGUCAGUGGCAUGAAACCUUUCCCCAUUCACCAGACUGCACCAUUUUCAAACGUGAAAAGAAAAUCGAGGAAUACAAGACCCUUGACCACCUCGCAUAUCAAGAGGCCAAGAAGAAAUGCAGUCACCUACUUUGUAUGAAAUCUCCUGCUGCUAUGAUGACAUUGCCUUCUUUAGUGCCUGUGCCCUCACCCUCUGUGUCAUCUACAUCAGGCCUCGGGGCCGUCCUACUGCUUAUCCCACACACACCUUUGGGAUCAUCGACUCCCUAUCCUCUGGAGAUGACGGUCCCCAGAGAAGCAACAUCCCACUCCAUUACCCCUUACCAGAGAAGCAACAUCCCACUCCAUUACCCCUUACCAGGAAGGGGUCCUUUGGGACACUCCCUUCCCAGAGCUCUACUACCUGGCAGCUGGAUGCCAACAGGUGGCUGUAGGAGCCAAAAGUUGCAGGUUGUAGGACUUUAUGUUCCUCCUUUGUCCCAGAAUAUGGGGCAGACAAGUCCUCGCAAAAGUCUAAAUCGUCUAAGGACAGAAAGUUGUCCUUCAAAAGCAGGGAGAUUCUGAUGGCUCCCAUGCCAUUACACUUCACAUGUUCCACCUCUGUAUCCAAGGCAUUAUUCCUGUUGGCACCUAUAGCUCCAGCACCCCCCCCCCCCCCUCCACACACACACAUGCCUUGAUUCGAAACAAAUGUGUAUUUAUUGAAUAUCUUCACAGUCAGUGGCAACAGGCAGCACUGAGGCACGACGUGCCUCCUCGGUCCCUUCACAACCCAAAAAUCCAUCGCAGGAGCAAUCCAUUGCCUUUAAAUGGCUCCAUGCUCAGGUCCACCACUUCAUAAAAUGACUGAAACAAGGUUGCUGGGAGCAGAGUGUGGAAACCAUUGGACCACAUAGCCCCCCUUCGCAGGUUUGUGUGAGGAUUUGAUGCCUUUAUGGAUACUAGUAGGCCAUGGGUGUACCUGGUAUCUCUAUGAACGAUGAUGUCUGCACUGAUCCAGACACUGUUGCCAAACAUUCUGCUUUUCACUAUGCAUGAGCCUCUGCACCUGAUAAUUAUCAGCCUGUAUUUUGUACCCUCGUCGUCUGCAGCGGGUAGAGCGACUUCCUACACCAUUUCCUGUAUGUCUUGUGGAACCUUAUAAUGCUCCAUUCAGUGAGUGGGAAUUCAUCAGUGCCCUAACCCUUUGCCCUGACAUGGGUCCAGGGCCAGACUGCAUCCACAGCCAAACAGUCAAACAAUCAUCAAUAAUGGAUUAACUUCUCAUGGUCAGGGUUCAUAGACAUGUAGAACUUUUUAAAGGAGAUUAUAUUUGCUGUUGACUGUAGAAAUUAUUUGUUUCACAAUUGCAAUUUUGGCUUUGGGCCAUUUGCAAUUGGGACUACAAAAGAUUUUGUGUACUGUAUUUCUACAAUGAAAAGGCAUGUUUUUGACGAUGUCAUGUAUAGAUGUCGGAGAAUUUGAAAGUCCAACAUGUGCUGAAGCAAAAUCUUUUGCAAUGCCAUUUGAAAAUGGCUCAAAACCCAAAAUUGCAACUGCAAAACAAAUAAUUUCUACAGUUAUCAGCAAAUAUGAUGUCCUUUAAAAAGUUCUACAUGAUUGUGAACCAUGACCACCUUAUUGGUGAGUUGCCAGCAUCACAUCCUUGCCUUUGCAACCAUAACAGGAUGAGUUCCCUAAUCAGUGGCCAGAAAGUGUGAUUGUAUCAUCCCCUUGAUAUGGACAGUUAUCGCCCAAUUAACAUCACCAAUGUUCUCAUGAAUGUUCUCUGCAAGUUGCUCGAUUGUAUGGUGAUGUGAUGACUGUGUUGGUACCUUGGGUCAGGGGUUUUCAGGUGCCAUCCGAGAGCAGUUUUUGCCAAGGCCAUUCUCCUGUUGACAGUUUGGUCUGCCUAGAGUCUGAUAUUCUGUCAGCUUAUGCCUGGUACUGACAUCUUAUUGUUGUCUUCCUUUGACUGACAUAGGACUUACAAGAUGACAUGUCAUCACCACAUCCCUUCUAUCCUCCAUGUGUGGGUCUCCAGGGCCAACUCCUGAUUUUUGUCUCAAACUUCUUGCCUUACUAUACUUUCUGGGUUCAAAAGUAUUCCCCAUAUACAAGAAAAUGGGCUCCCCAAGACUCUGUAUAGCGUGUGCCCCUGUUUAUAAUGGGUAUCAAUGGUCUAGCUGCAGCUGUGGGGUCUGCAGUGUCACCUUCCUCGUAUGCUGAUGACUUUUGCAUCCACUAUUGCUCCUGAACUGUAGGUGUUGUUGAAUGCCAACUGCAGGGUACUGUUCAAAGUGCGCAGUCCUCGGCUGUCACCCAUGGCUUCUGGUUUUCUGCGCGCAAAGAUGUGUCAUGCACUUCUGUUGCUGUUGUUCUGUCUAUCCCCAACCAGAAAUCUACUCCAAAGACCAAAUGCUCUGUGUGGUGUAGUCUUAUUAUUUUUUGGUACUGAUCAUCAAUGCCUGGUUAAUGUGUCUUCCUCAUCUUCCCCAACUUAAGCAAAUGUGCUGGUCACACCUUAACACUCAUCGCUGUCUCGGUUACACCAACUGCGGUGAAGACUGUUCUGCACUUUUGUGCUCUAAAAGGCUCUGAUUCUUUCACAUCCUGAUUAUGGAAGCCUGGCAUCAUCUUCAGCAUUUCAGACACUGGCUGGAGCCGAUAUAUCAUUAUGGUUUCCAAUUUGCAAGAGGUACCUUUUGGACUAGCCCUGUGAACAGCCUGGUCACAGAGCUGUCGUCUAUACGAUAUACAUCGGUCGUUACCAGCUACUGCUCAAGUGAGCAUCUGAACUACUGUGUACUUUUUCCUGUUAGGGAGAUUGACCUCCCAUAACAGAGGUCAGAGUUUGGCAUCAUGAUUGCAGUUCGCAUACAAAAUCUCUGCUUUGAGCUCCUUCUUUCUCCACUGUUGCUUCGUGUCAGGGAGCAAUCACAUGCACUCCCAGGGUGUGUAACCCAUUCUCAGAUCUGCCUUGGCCUCCCCUGUGGACUAAAAGAUUGUAUAGACCCUGUCGUUUCUCAUAACCUGUUCCUGGAUGUCCUCAGUGCAUUUCCAGGCUCAGACAAGGUGUAUGCUAAUGGUUCUAAAGUCAGUGGGUGAACCAGUUUUGACUACACUUAUGCAAGAUGCAGUGAACUACACCUGAUGCUGAGUGGAUGCAGUGUACUGACUGUGGAAUUGGUAACCAUUGCGUGAGGCCUGAACCACAUUCAUUCUUGCACUGGCAAGCCAUUCUUAAUCAGCAGUGGCUCCGUGAGUAGUCUUCAGGCUGUCGACCAGUGCUACCCUCAACACUCAUUGGUUUUGAUUAUCCAGGAUCUCCUGUAUAAUCUCCACCAUGCUGGGUGAUCAGACAUCUUUGUAUGGGCCCCUGGUCACAUUGGGAUCCUUGGGAAUGAACAUGCUGACUGGAUGGCUAAAUUGGAGGUGUGGGUAGCAGAACCAGACCUUCGGUUGACUCCAUGCUGACAGUUGUUGGAGACUAGGAAUCAAUUGUCACAUCAUUGGUACAAAGUCAACUGCAGUAUCUUCCCUAACUUUAAGCCUUCUUCUUUUCUGUUAAAAUUAUUGUGAUGUUUAUAAAUCUCUAUGGCUUUUCUGUAUGUAUAUGUAUAAUAAUGCUAUGUCAUAACUAGCAUGCUUUUCUCACUAAAUUUUAAAUCAUGAUCACCAUCUUCAAAAACAUGUUCUGCUACAGCUACAGAUGACAGUUUCGUUUUUGUUCGGUUAGGUGGAUAUUAACACUUUUUUUCAUUGUUCCAAUAUAAACCUCAGUAGGGGAUCCAAUAGUACUCACUAUCGGUCUCAGUGGGACAGCAGGCGUAUGCACCUUAGGUAGCCCGUAAAAUCUAGGAGGGUAAGCUUCCUGCCCCCCCUCCCCCCCCCCCCCCUUCUUUUUUUCUUGCAAGGGUACUUUUUAUCAUCUGUAGGAAUGGAAUACUUUUUUUAUUAAAUUAUUGGUAGCUGUUAACACUUUUGUUGUAGGACCCUUUUUCAAUUUUUUAUAAGUGGUAGGCUCCAAAACAUCACUGAUCUUCGUAUGGUUACCUUCACUCUUCAAGUGCUUAUGGAGUGCUAUUGGAUCCACUCCUCAAGAGUGGGCUAGACAUCUCACCUUCUUUUUACAACUGUGUAUUGGAAAAACUAACCAUCCUAUUAAGAAGUCUAUGCACUUUAUUGAAAAAUUGAAGGAGAUUACUGUCAGCCCAAGUAAUGUUCUUGUCAGUUUUGAUUUGGUAUCCCUGUUCACCAUGGUUCUAAUUAACGAAGCUCUUUCUUACAUGGCUGAUAAGUUUCCCAAUGGUACAGUAUCUUUGUUUUGACAUUCCCUACCCAUGAUUAUUUUCAGUAUAACUAUGAGUUCUGUGAGCAGAUGGAAGGAGUGACAAUGGAAAGCCCUCUAAGUCCAGUUGCUAAUCUUUUUAUGGAAUUUUUGAAUAGCAGGUGCUGCAGUCAGCCAAUAAAAGUCCUCUGAAGUGGUAUUGAUGUUGUGGAUGAUGCUUUUGUGAUAUCACAAUGAAGAUGAAUUGAAUGGUUUCUUGGUGCAUUUACAUAGUGUUAAUCCAAGAUACAAUUUACUAGGGGGUCAGAGAGCAAUGGACAGCUUAAUUUUUUGAAUGUUUCAGUAAUUAAAAGGGCAGAUUGGGCCUUAGGUCAUAAAGUAUAUAGGAAAGAUACACAUACCGACCAUUACCUCCAUAACGAUUUGAACCAUCAUCCCAGGCAGAAGAGAGGUGUUAUUAAAACUUUGAUGGACAGGGCUAAUGAAAUCUGUGAGCCAGUUUAUUUGCAAGAGAAACUAGAUCAUUUGCAAACAGCUUGUAAGAAAAAUGGAUACACUGAUAAUGAGAUAGGCUGAGCACUCCAUCCCAGAGGAAGAGUGUCCAAAAACAUCCAACAACAACAACAGCAACCAUUGACUGUGAAAAUUUUUCUUCCAUUUAUCCACAAUAUUAUGGACUGUAUUGGGAAAGUUAUGGCCCAAGUUUUCCAAGUUGAAACACUCUGUAGACACACUAAGAAGGUUUAUAAACACCACAAUAAUUUUAACAGAAAAGAAGAAGCCUUAAAGUUAGAUAAGAUAUGGCUGCCAACUUUGACUGUCAGAGAUAGCUUCACUGGUGACAGCAUGUGACAAGUGAUGGCACCCUCUAUGCACUCUACGUAAAUGGGACUUCCACAGUCUAGGAGCCAGUUGUUGACUCACCUUGGAAGAUGUUGCCUGCAGCUAGCAACGAAACAUCAGGAAGAAUUUCUACUGUUCGACCAUGGCCUCUUAGCCCACAAGUUCCAAUUAAUUAGGGAAUCUACUGUCCUGGCCAUCUUUUGGUGAAACUUUAAAUAUAUUGAUGCAAUAACGCUGGCACUAGCAGACAACACCAGAGCAGUUGAUUUGGUUUAAUUUUUUAUUUGUUAGUUUAGUUUUUCGUCCUCUCUGUGUCAUACAGCACAUUAGCCUCGUGGGCUGCGAGAGGGAUUGGAAGGGUGCCCCCAUCACCUGCUCCGCACCAAGGGUCCCAUGGCUGCCCUUGCUCAGUGGUCCAUCCUAGCUCAUGGCCUUUUCACCUUUUUAAAUCAUGUUAUUCUUUCACAUCUAUUGUUGGUUGACAGACUUGACGUAAUUGUUCUCUUUCCUGAGAUUUUAUCUUGUCCAUUUUACUUGUGGUUUACCCCUCUCUCACUUCAACUUGUUUCUGACUCUUGAUUCUCAGAUACAGUCAAGCCCAUUGUGAUUUGUCUUUUGUGUCCUUCCUCUCUGAUUCCCAGAUUGUCACACAAAGGAUUAAGGGAGUGGUGACCUCAUGGUUUGGUUCCUUUAACCCCACCCACCCAUCCACCCAUCCAUCCAUCCAUCCAUCCAUCCAUCAACCUUAACACUAUUUGCUGUAAGUAGCAGCCUUAAAUUAAAGAUAUAGUGAAGUUAUAUGAAGUUAUCGUUGAGAUACCACAAAUGAAGAUCGUGUGAAUAUGAGUUCACAGUUCACUGGUACAUGACUGCUUGGUGAUGAAACAUGUUUCUUACACAUUACGUUGGCAGCAAGUAUGACAAACAUUCGUCAAGAUCUGCAUGUUGGUUCCUGUCAAGCUGGAUGUUUUGAGGGCACAUAGUGUACCAGUAUCAUUUUAGCUCCUAUCGAUUCCAUCCUCAUAAUGUGUGCAGGAAGAAUGAUUUUUGUCUUCUUCUGUAUACGUACAAAUUUUCCUGGUAUUACCGUCAUGGAUAUUAUCUGAACUGUAUGUGGAAGAAGGUAGUUUGGCAUAUUCAAUUAUUUUGUGUUGUUUUCCAAAUAUCACAGACUGUUGUUUCACCAACAUUGUAAAUCAGUGCCAGAUUCUACUUAUCGGUGUUGCCUUCUUCAAGUUUCUGUAUUAUUUACAGUUUCUGCUGUAUCAUGAUAACAACACGUUUUUGCUUUUAAGACUUUGUGUAGCAAUAACAGAAACCAGAUGACUACAGUAUCCACCGCAACAGUACAGUCCAGCACUUGAGGUGUUUGGACAACACAUUGUUUACUACACUCAUGUUGUAACAUGACAUUAUCCUUCCAGGUAGAAGAAAAAUUUACAGCAUCCAGCAGCUAAAAAAAAGGAAGGAAGAAAGUUGGGAGAAAUAGGCCACAUAUAAUCUGCUCGCAGAUAAUAGCCAGAUGCUAACUGUUCCACACAUACAAAGCUGGGCUGCUCCAGACAGCAACUGGAAUCAGCAGUAUUCAUGCCCUAAUUGCUUCAAAGUAUAUCGCUGGAUGAUCUCAUUGCGCAGGCAUAUGAGAUUAGAAUGUGGAAAAGAGGGAAACCUUUGUUGCUCCAUCUGCAGUCGUCGCUUCAAGCAUAAGCAUCACCUUGUUAAUCACUUAGGUGUUCACAGACGCAGGGAUUACAUGGCCAGUGGAAGCAGCUAACUGGUCUGAAAAUUGUGUGGAGGACUCUAAUGAAAGAAUUGGUUUAGAGGCAAGAUUUGUGUGCAAUAACUGCGGAAAAUAUUAUCACCUGAAUACUUCUCUCCAACGCCAUCUUCGCGUAGAAUGUGGACAAGAAGGAAGACAUGCAUGUUUCUCAUGUGGUCGCAAAUUUAAGCAUAGGUUUACUCUCGCAACACAUGUAAGAAGAAACAUCUGUGACAGAUUCAGGAACUUACAGUGAAAUAAGAGCAAUUUUUACUGUAAAAGGAUUUUAGUCUGAUUGCAAGCAUUUCAAUAAAUCAAUAUCGCAUAUGAGGCA